rfam:Gossypium arboreum cultivar AKA8401 contig_10597_1, whole genome shotgun sequence.
CGAAAACUCAAGGGUUCCUUCGCAAGGUUUGUCUACGAAGGGUGAGUCAUGGCCAAAGAUCAGGCCAAAAAGUGAAGUCGAUGGACAACAGGAGAAUAUUCUUGUACUACCCCUUGUUGGUUCCGAGGGAUGGAGGAGACCAGGUACUGAAAGAUGGUUAUCAAUUCAAGGACGCAAGGUGUAUGAAAAUCUCUAAUUCCUCAAAAGUAGCUUUUGGUUAUGUCUUCAAUAAGGAAUAAGAUGGCAAAAAUCUUCUUGAUAUAAAGUCCCUAGGAAAACUAACCUCCUCAUUUAUGGAAACUUGGGUUACAUUGAAAG